GAUGAACGCUGGCGGCGUGCCUAAUACAUGCAAGUCGAGCGAACAGACGAGGAGCUUGCUCCUCUGACGUUAGCGGCGGACGGGUGAGUAACACGUGGAUAACCUACCUAUAAGACUGGGAUAACUUCGGGAAACCGGAGCUAAUACCGGAUAAUAUAUUGAACCGCAUGGUUCAAUAGUGAAAGACGGUUUUGCUGUCACUAAUAGAUGGUUCCGGGCCGCAUUAGCUAGUUGGUAAGGUAACGGCUUACCAAGGCUACGAUGCGUAGCCGACCUGAGAGGGUGAUCGCCCACACUGGAGCUGGGACACGGUCCAGACUCCUACGAGAGGCAGCAGUAGGGAAUCUUCCGCAGUGGGCGAAAGCCUGACGGAGCGACGCCACGUGAGUGAUGGAGGUCUUCGGAUCGUAAAACUGUGUUAUUAGGGGAGAACCAAUGUGUAAGUAACUGUGCACGUAUUGACGGUACCUAAUCAGAAAGCCCCGGCUAACUACGUG
rnacentral:rRNA from 1 species